AACGAACGCUGGCGGCAUGCCUAACACAUGCAAGUCGAACGAGACCUUCGGGUCUAGUGGCGCACGGGUGCGUAACGCGUGGGAACCUGCCCUUAGGUUCGGAAUAACUCCCCGAAAGGGGUGCUAAUACCGGAUAAUGUCUUCGGACCAAAGAUUUAUCGCCUUUGGAUGGGCCCGCGUUGGAUUAGCUAGUUGGUAGGGUAAAAGCCUACCAAGGCGACGAUCCAUAGCUGGUCUGAGAGGAUGGUCAGCCACACUGGGACUGAGACACGGCCCAGACUCCUACGGGAGGCAGCAGUGGGGAAUAUUGGACAAUGGGCGAAGGCCUGAUCCAGCAAUGCCGCGUGAGUGAUGAAGGCCUGAGGGUUGUAAAGCUCUUUUACCCGGGAUGAUAAUGACAGUACCGGGAGAAUAAGCUCCGGCUAACUCCGUG
rnacentral:rRNA from 1 species